rnacentral:rRNA from 1 species
UACGUAGGGUGCAAGCGUUGUCCGGAAUUAUUGGGCGUAAAGAGCUCGUAGGCGGUCUGUCGCGUCGGCUGUGAAAACCGGAGCUCAACUCCGGGCCUGCAGUCGAUACGGGCAGACUGGAGUUCGGCAGGGGAGACUGGAAUUCCUGGUGUAGCGGUGAAAUGCGCAGAUAUCAGGAGGAACACCGGUGGCGAAGGCGGGUCUCUGGGCCGAUACUGACGCUGAGAGCGAACGCGUGGGGAGCGAACAGG